GAGGGUGUAGCUCAGGGGUAGAGCAGUUGCCUGGCAUGCAUCAGGCCCUGAGUUGGAGCCCCAGCACCUCCC
rfam:Ictidomys tridecemlineatus contig090585, whole genome shotgun sequence.